UGCGGCGGGGCUCUUGGAGGUGAAGGGGAGCCCAGAGCCGGAGCCGGGGAAGGCGCGCCUGCGGCCUGCGCUGUGCACCCCCGCGGCCGCCGGGAGCGCGGGCGCCCUGGGCGGUCCAGGCUCUCCUCCACGUACCUUUUCUUCCCGUGCGGCCCCCGCUCCCUCGCCGGCCUGGCUGUCCCGGGGCUGCAGCUCCAGCACCGUGCGGAAGAGCUUCUCCGAGUCAGGGAGAAACCCACACGCACACCCGGGCCCGCUCCGCGGAAUAAACGUCGGAAUCCUGAGGAAGCUCGAGGCGAGCUGUGCUGCCCGAGUUCCUGUGUCUGGCAGAAAGCAUUCGAAUUAAAAGAGCUGACAACAGGGUGUCACACAAACAACACGUCUGCGGUCAGUUAGCGCUCAGCACACUCCUGGACUCUUGGAAGGUGCCCCUACGGGUGUCUAUUAACGGAGAGAUUCAAGAGAGGCUUGAAGAAGAGGAAGUCUCCCCACGUAAUUGCAAAGUGUGCAAACCACGGUCCUGUCAUCCAUCCAGCUUCUUGUCAAAUUGUUGACUCCAGCCUCCUGGCCCAGAUUUUCUGGAUCAAACAACUUUUACAACUUACCUUCUUAAAUUUUAGGAAUUAAAAAAAUGUUUAAAGCUUGUA